rnacentral:rRNA from 1 species
GACGAACGCUGGCGGCGUGCUUAACACAUGCAAGUCGAACGGAAAGGCCCUGCUUUUGUGGGGUGCUCGAGUGGCGAACGGGUGAGUAACAAGUGAGUAACCUGCCCUUGACUUUGGGAUAACUUCAGGAAACUGGGGCUAAUACCGGAUAGGAGCUCCUGCUGCAUGGUGGGGGUUGGAAAGUUUCGGCGGUUGGGGAUGGACUCGCGGCCUAUCAGCUUGCUGGUGGGGUAGUGGCUUACCAAGGCUUUGACGGGUAGCCGGCCUGAGAGGGUGACCGGCCACAUUGGGACUGAGAUACGGCCCAGACUCCUACGGGAGGCAGCAGUGGGGAAUAGUGCACAAUGGGCGGAAGCCUGAUGCAGCAACGCCGCGUGCGGGAUGACGGCCUUCGGGUUGUAAACCGCUUUCGCCUGUGACGAAGCGUGAGUGACGGUAAUGGGUAAAGAAGCACCGGCUAACUACGUG